rnacentral:snRNA from 1 species
AUACCUUUCUCGGCCUUUUGGCUAAGAUCAAGUGUAGUAUCUUGUUCUUAUCAGUUUAAUAUUGAUAUUUGAGCCAUUGGCUCACACGAUAUCAAAUCACUUUUUUUUAGGGGGAGAGCCCAUCAUAGUAGCUUGCUACUGGGGCUCCCGAGUGUUGCCCUAGCGUUGCACUAUUGCUUGGGCCUGGCGCACCCAAC